UGUGACAUACCUAUCGUUGCCUCGGCGGUGCCCGCUCCGGCGGCCCGCCAGAGGACCCCCAAACUCUUGUUUUAUACAGUAUCUUCUGAGUAACACGAUUAAAUAAAUCAAAACUUUCAACAACGGAUCUCUUGGUUCUGGCAUCGAUGAAGAACGCAGCGAAAUGCGAUAAGUAAUGUGAAUUGCAGAAUUCAGUGAAUCAUCGAAUCUUUGAACGCACAUUGCGCCCGCCAGUAUUCUGGCGGGCAUGCCUGUUCGAGCGUCAUUUCAACCCUCAAGCCCCCGGGCUUGGUGUUGGGGAUCGGCGUGCCCUCGCGGCGCGCCGUCCCCUAAAUCUAGUGGCGGUCUCGCUGUAGCUUCCUCUGCGUAGUAGCAACACUCGCACUGGAUCGCAGCGCGGCCACGCCGUUAAACCCCCCACUUCUGAAAGUUUGACCUCGGAUCAGGUAGGAAUACCCGCUGAACUUAAGCAUAUCAAUAAGCGGA
rnacentral:rRNA from 1 species